rnacentral:rRNA from 1 species
AACGAACGCUGGCGGCAUGCCUAACACAUGCAAGUCGAACGAGACCUUCGGGUCUAGUGGCGCACGGGUGCGUAACGCGUGGGAACCUGCCCUUAGGUUCGGAAUAACGCCCCGAAAGGGGUGCGAAUACCGGAUAAUGUCUUCGGACCAAAGAUUUAUCGCCUUUGGAUGGGCUCGCGUUGGAUUAGCUAGUUGGUAGGGUAAAAGCCUACCAAGGCGACGAUCCAUAGCUGGUCUGAGAGGAUGAUCAGCCACACUGGGACUGAGACACGGCCCAGACUCCUACGGGAGGCAGCAGUGGGGAAUAUUGGACAAUGGGCGAAAGCCUGAUCCAGCAAUGCCGCGUGAGUGAUGAAGGCCUUAGGGUUGUAAAGCUAUUUUACCCGGGAUGAUAAUGACAGUACCGGGAGAAUAAGCUCCGGCUAACUCCGUG